UAGGGAAUCUUCCACAAUGGACGCAAGUCUGAUGGAGCAACGCCGCGUGAGUGAAGAAGGCUUUCGGGUCGUAAAACUCUGUUAUUGAAGAAGAACGUGUGUGACAGUAACUGGUCAUGCAGUGACGGUAUUCAAUCAGAAAGUCACGGCUAACUACGUGCCAGCAGCCGCGGUAAUAUGUAGGUGGCAAGCGUUGUCCGGAUUUAUUGGGCGUAAAGCGAGUGCAGGCGGUCUUUUAAGUCUGAUGUGAAAGCCUUCGGCUUAACCGAAGAAGGGCAUCGGAAACUGGGAGACUUGAGUGCAGAAGAGGAGAGUGGAACUCCAUGUGUAGCGGUGAAAUGCGUAGAUAUAUGGAAGAACACCAGUGGCGAAGGCGGCUCUCUGGUCUGUAACUGACGCUGAGGCUCGAAAGCGUGGGUAGCAAACAGGAUUAGAUAC
rnacentral:rRNA from 1 species